rnacentral:siRNA from 1 species
ACUCAUGUCCUACCCAUACGCUGC